UACGGAGGGGACUAGCGUUGUUCGGAAUUACUGGGCGUAAAGCGCACGUAGGCGGAUUUGUAAGUCAGGGGUGAAAUCCCGGGGCUCAACCCCGGAACUGCCUUUGAUACUGCGAAUCUCGAGUCCGGAAGAGGUGAGUGGAAUUCCUAGUGUAGAGGUGAAAUUCGUAGAUAUUAGGAAGAACACCAGUGGCGAAGGCGGCUCACUGGUCCGGCACUGACGCUGAGGUGCGAAAGCGUGGGGAGCAAACAGG
rnacentral:rRNA from 1 species